UAAAAAUGUAUAAAUAAGUGAAAAGUUUUGAAAGCGGCCCAGCAUUUCGGCAGAGCUAUAUCCAUGCACACACCGGCACUGUGAAUAGAGCAAUGCCUAUUUCUAAUACUAAAAUACAGUGUUUGAUUUAUGCCGACGCUUUCGGCGACAGGUGGAGCAGAAAGACGCGUGUACACGGCAGAAACCGGUUACAAAUGUGCCUUAAAACGCCAGCUUCUGACGACAGCUUUCUGCGGGUUCCUCAUCCCCCCCGACUGUGUAACGCUACAGGAAAUGAUAUUUUUAAAUUGUUAUUGCCCCCGCCCCUUUUUUUAAUUACUGAAACCAAUUACACAGCGCCAACUUCGCCGCCUUUUUAGCAAGGAAAGCUCAACUACCCUUGAGAGACUAUCGGAAAGUUCUGGAUGUAAACCACGCAAGCAAACCACGCCUCUCAUGACGGCGGACAACAGGUUGAUGGAUUUGGGAGCCGCGGGGCGGGUUUCCCUGUCAGCCAUACCCUUCAAAUCUGCUCCGUGAGGCGGGACUCACCGUAAACUUCGUGUUCAAGCUUAGAGCAAGGCAAAUGCAGGAGGUCGCGAGCCGCAGGUAGUUACGAAAGCCUCGGCGGGGUCUCCCUCCGUGCCCGCUCGGGUACGGCAGCGCCGACAGCUCCCUGAGGGCGCCCGGAGCGCCGCCAUUUCCCCUCAGGCGCUUCCUGCCUUGUCUGACAAUACCAGGCCUGAGUCUGCCAGGGCACUCCUCGUUAGUAUAGUGUCGGGAACAUGGCUGGAAGAGUGUGGCGGAGAGUAGUCGACGUACCCGGCGGUGGCGCCGGGCAUUGGGCGGCCGUGAUCGUAUAGUGCAGGAAGAAACUAAGAAACGAGGGAAUUCGGAGCCACUCCCCGAGAUUCUCAGCUCAGAGCGGGAACCCUCCAGCAGGAAAAGGAUGUCCCCAGGAGCGCCCCCGUUCUUCCGCACAGGGCGAGGCGGGGCUGCCCCCGGCCCGCCCGGCGCCGUGGCUUAGCUGGUUAAAGCGCCUGUCUAGUAAACAGGAGAUCCUGGGUUCGAAUCCCAGCGGUGCCUGGGUUAUCCAUGGCGUUCCUCGCAGGUUUAUUUUGGGAGAGCCGCCUCUGUCCCCUCGCCGGGUUUCUUCCCGCUCAUCCCGUGCCCGCAGCAGCGCAGCGCGGCCCAAGCUGCUCGUGUCUGCACUGUAGCAGGAUAAGUUGGGCAGGGCGCCGAUCGUUUUCAUCACUUACACUGCAGAGGCGGCGGGGUCUCCCUGUACCCGUGUGCAGCCCCUCGAGGGGCGUCCUCUAUGUCGUUUCCUACAGGAAAUCGGGCUGUGCCCUCCUGCGGAGACCGCCCGUGACGGGGCAGCCCCUCGCUUCCUCACGUCCGGCUGGACUCUGUCCUCCACAAGCACCAGCCCCGGCCAAUCAAACCGUAACCCCAGCUGCGGCAGCUUUUACUUGGCUCUGCAAGCGAACACGGCAGGGUGUGGGCGCCUCCAAAAUGUGGGAAUUUCCUCCCGCUUCUGCUGAUCGGCCCAAGGAGUGCUGGAAGAAGCCACACCAGCAGGCCGCAUCACGUGGGCGAGGCCCAAAAAGGACGGCUGGCCCGUACGGGGAUCGAACCCGCGACCUUGGCGUUAUUAGCACCACGCUCUAACCAACUGAGCUAACCGGCCAGUUGGUUGAGGUUUUUUAAUCAGUGUUUUACAUGUCAGAUGCAGCAGGGCGGUUCUGACUGGCUACCGCGGCGCCGAUCCGCGGCUGCAUUUUCCGCACGGAACAGAGGCGCAAAUGCGUGGGCACCACGCGUGACCCUGGCGCACUUGCCUCCUCCGCUGGCCCACCCGCGGCUGGGCACGGAUGGCGCCCUGCCAGCGCCCACCCGCGUUUGACGGCACCACGCAUCAAAACAGCGCCUCACAGGGCACAAGCAGAAAAGACGAUGUCAGGAGUGGGAUUCGAACCCACGCCUCCAGGGGAGACUGCGACCUGAACGCAGCGCCUUAGACCGCUCGGCCAUCCUGACUGCUGCAGGAGUGUUCUGGCCGGCCCGAUUCGGUUCCGCCGCACCCCGGAGCUCCCCCGAGCCAGCGCAG